rnacentral:lncRNA from 1 species
GCGUUGCGUCCAGCGCCGUUGCGUGCUGUACUGCACUUCACAAUGCAGUUCGUCGUACCCUGUGCAGCGCCUGGUGUAUUGUCCGGUGCCAUGUUGGGCGUUUCCUUGCUAUCGUGUUCGGCUGGCGGCUGGCAGCAGAAGCGGCAGCAGCAGCAGCGACAGUGAUCGUUACAAGGCAAAGCAAACACCUGUAGGAAUGCGUGAGCUAUUAUGGAUAAGAUUUUAUGCAUGUCUUUUCGCCCGUGAACCCAAACAAGACGGCCUCAUGAACCACCUCAUCGUACCUUGCUGAUUAUUCCUUCCCCUCCGCCCAUCCUCCUGCCCCGUCCUCCCGCCUGCCUCUGGUGCGUCCUUAUGGCUGCGCGGCGGCCGUAUAUCAACACCAAUGCCGAGGGCGCAACGAUUGGGCGCUACACGAGCUGCAGUCCUUGCAUGAGCCCCUGGAUUUCAAGAUACCUCGCGCUUUGCGGUUGGUCGUACUGUUUAGGGUUUUCAGUUCCGCAUUUUGUUGGGAGCGUGCAAUCAUGUCUGCCUGGCGGUCUGCUGCGACAGCAACAGUAGCAGCAAAGCAGUAGCAAAGCAAACGAUAUCA